rnacentral:lncRNA from 1 species
GAGAAUAAUUGUAAACGUCUGACAAAGGUAAAAAAAUAAAGUCUUUAUCUCUGGAAACUCUGGUCAACUUAGACCACAAAAGUCUUUCUUCAGUCGUAGAGGUAAUGCUUCAACAUCAACUAAGGCUGUCGCGUUGCACUUUUUGUAGUAGUGUUAAUAUGUGUGACGCUAAUAUUUUAUUAACGGAUUGUGUACCAGACUUUUCAUGUAGGAUUUUAUGAUACUAUUGGUA